CCCGACUCAACAAACGACACACAAAGGAGCCGCCUCCCUCGGGCCACGAACCUCCUAGGUGAGGUUUCCAAGCGGAGGCGGAAAGAGAAACGUUGCGCACGCGCAGAGGCUGAGGCUCGAGUUUCUCCAGUGCGCAGUCUCCAGGUUGGCGUGCGCCGCGCAAGUGUCGCGCGAGUUGCUCCUUUGAGAGAGAGUCAGAAAACGGGUAGUUCUGAAGAACUCUACGUCAGGGAAGGCUGAGGAUGAAGCUCCGAAAUUGAAAGAAGUCACUGGUGUGAGUGGUAAACUAGUAGAGUUGGAGGUCCCACCAUGGAUCACAGGGAUUAGAGCACUAUCAAGAUCAUUUAAAUAAUGUUGAGGAAGAAGUUGGCCUUCAGAUCCUGCCUGAAAUUCAACCUGGGGAAGAAAACAAUCUUGAUAAGUCAACCCCAGAAAAGCAAGCCGCAAGCCAUCCAUAGUCUCUGGUGUUAUUUGUACCAUCAAGCCAUCUAAUAAUGAGGGCACUAUAAGUGUUAUUCACCAAAAAGGAAAAGCUAUUUGGCUGGCAAUGCAGCAGGGCUUCUGGAAGAAAAGGAAGGUAAGACAAUUUCUAUAAUGAUAAAAAGCAGAAACCUUUUUAACCUUCAGUUCUCAGCCUAGAUCACUAAGCAAACAAACCUCUCUCAUAUCUUUUAUAUGAAUAUAUAUCCUUAAAAUUCUAA